rnacentral:rRNA from 1 species
AAUAGAUACCCUGGUAGUCCACGCCGUAAACGAUGAGUGCUAAGUGUUAGAGGGUUUCCGCCCUUUAGUGCUGCAGCUAACGCAUUAAGCACUCCGCCUGGGGAGUACGGUCGCAAGACUGAAACUCAAAGGAAUUGACGAGGGCCCGCACAAGCGGUGGAGCAUGUGGUUUAAUUCGAAGCAACGCGAAGAACCUUACCAGGUCUUGACAUCCCACUGACCGGUAUAGAGAUAUACCUUUCCCUUCGGGGACAGUGGUAACAGGUGGUGCAUGGUUGUCGUCAGCUCGUGUCGUGAGAUGUUGGGUUAAGUCCCGCAACGAGCGCAACCCUUAAUCUUAGUUGCCAGCAUUUAGUUGGGCACUCUAAGGUGACUGCCGGUGACAAACCGGAGGAAGGUGGGGAUGACGUCAAAUCAUCAUGCCCCUUAUGACCUGGGCUACACACGUGCUACAAUGGAUGGUACAAAGGGCUGCAAGACUGCGAAGUCAAGCCAAUCCCAUAAAACCAUUCUCAGUUCGGAUUGCAGG